rnacentral:rRNA from 1 species
GACGAACGCUGGCGGCGUGCUUAACACAUGCAAGUCGAACGGAAAGGCCCCUUUGGGGGUACUCGAGUGGCGAACGGGUGAGUAACACGUGAGUAACCUGCCCUUGACUUCGGGAUAACUUCAGGAGACUGGGGCUAAUACCGGAUAGGAAUCCUUGCUGCAUGGUGGGGGUUGGAAAGCUUCGGCGGUUUUGGAUGGACUCGCGGCUUAUCAGCUUGUUGGUGGGGUAGUGGCUUACCAAGGCUUUGACGGGUAGCCGGCCUGAGAGGGCGACCGGCCACAUUGGGACUGAGAUACGGCCCAGACUCCUACGGGAGGCAGCAGUGGGGAAUAUUGCACAAUGGGCGGAAGCCUGAUGCAGCAACGCCGCGUGCGGGAUGACGGCCUUCGGGUUGUAAACCGCUUUCAGCAGGGGCGAAGCUUGUGGUGACGGUACCUGCAGAAGAAGCACCGGCUAACUACGUG